rnacentral:ncRNA from 2 species
AUUAUAUGGUAGGAACAGGCGGCCUAGAUUUUGGCGCGGCCGGGCAGUAAGCAGCAGGUAAAGAUAAAUCUGCGGGACCUUA